rnacentral:rRNA from 1 species
UAAGGUCACGGUAAGACUAACCGUUUGAUAGGCAUUAAGUAUAAAUGUAGUAAUAUAUGAGCUGAGAUGUCCUAACAGACCGAGGACUUGAAUU